rnacentral:miRNA from 1 species
UGACUAGAUUUUCACUCAUCCU